rnacentral:rRNA from 1 species
GAUGAACGCUGGCGGCGUGCCUAAUACAUGCAAGUCGAGCGAACAGAUGAGGAGCUUGCUCCUCUGACGUUAGCGGCGGACGGGUGAGUAACACGUGGAUAACCUACCUAUAAGACUGGGAUAACUUCGGGAAACCGGAGCUAAUACCGGAUAAUAUAUUGAACCGCAUGGUUCAAUAGUGAAAGGCGGUUUUGCUGUCACUUAUAGAUGGAUCCGCGCCGCAUUAGCUAGUUGGUAAGGUAACGGCUUACCAAGGCAACGAUGCGUAGCCGACCUGAGAGGGUGAUCGGCCACACUGGAACUGAGACACGGUCCAGACUCCUACGGGAGGCAGCAGUAGGGAAUCUUCCGCAAUGGGCGAAAGCCUGACGGAGCAACGCCGCGUGAGUGAUGAAGGUCUUCGGAUCGUAAAACUCUGUUAUUAGGGAAGGACAAAUGUGUAAGUAACUAUGCACGUCUUGACGGUACCUAAUCAGAAAGCCACGGCUAACUACGUG